UGGCGGACGGGUGAGUAAUGCUUGGGAACUUGCCUUUGCGAGGGGGAUAACAGUUGGAAACGACUGCUAAUACCGCAUAAUGUCUACGGACCAAACGGGGCUUCCGCUCCAGCGCAAAGAGAGGCCCAAGUGAGAUUAGCUAGUUGGUAAGGUAACGGCUUACCAAGGCGACGAUCUCUAGCUGUUCUGAGAGGAAGAUCAACCACACUGGGACUGAGACACGGCCCAGACUCCUACGGGAGGCAGCAGUGGGGAAUAUUGCACAAUGGGGGAAACCCUGAUGCAGCCAUGCCGCGUGUGUGAAGAAGGCCUUCGGGUUGUAAAGCACUUUCAGUUGUGAGGAAAAGUUAGUAGUUAAUACCUGCUAGCCGUGACGUUAACAACAGAAGAAGCACCGGCUAACUCCGUGCCAGCAGCCGCGGUAAUACGGAGGGUGCGAGCGUUAAUCGGAAUUACUGGGCGUAAAGCGCACGCAGGCGGUUUGUUAAGCUAGAUGUGAAAGCCCCGGGCUCAACCUGGGAUGGUCAUUUAGAACUGGCAGACUAGAGUCUUGGAGAGGGGAGUGGAAUUCCAGGUGUAGCGGUGAAAUGCGUAGAUAUCUGGAGGAACAUCAGUGGCGAAGGCGACUCCCUGGUCAAAGACUGACGCUCAUGUGCGAAAGUGUGGGUAGCGAACAGGAUUAGAUACCCUGCUACUCCACACCGUACACGCUGUCUACUAGCUGUGUGUGCCUU
rnacentral:rRNA from 1 species